rnacentral:rRNA from 1 species
CCUACGGGGGGCUGCAGUGGGGAAUAUUGGACAAUGGGGGGAACCCUGAUCCAGCCAUGCCGCGUGUGUGAAGAAGACCCUCGGGUUGUAAAGCACUUUCAGUGAGGAAGAACGCCUGGUGGUUAAUACCCAUCAGGAAAGACAUCACUCACAGAAGAAGCACCGGCUAACUCCGUGCCAGCAGCCGCGGUAAUACGGAGGGUGCGAGCGUUAAUCGGAAUUACUGGGCGUAAAGCGCGCGUAGGUGGCUUGAUAAGCCGGUUGUGAAAGCCCCGGGCUCAACCUGGGAACGGCAUCCGGAACUGUCAAGCUAGAGUGCAGGAGAGGAAGGUAGAAUUCCCGGUGUAGCGGUGAAAUGCGUAGAGAUCGGGAGGAAUACCAGUGGCGAAGGCGGCCUUCUGGACUGACACUGACACUGAGGUGCGAAAGCGUGGGUAGCAAACAGGAUUAGAUACCCUAGUAGUC